rnacentral:rRNA from 1 species
UACGAAGGGGCUAGCGUUGCUCGGAAUUACUGGGCGUAAAGCGCACGUAGGCGGCUUUCUAAGUCGGGGUGAAAUCCUGGAGCUCAACUCCAGAACUGCCUUCGAUACUGGAGGCGUCGAGUCCGGGAGAGGUGAGUGGAACUGCGAGUGUAGAGGUGAAAUUCGUAGAUAUUCGCAAGAACACCAGUGGCGAAGGCGGCUCACUGGCCCGGUACUGACGCUGAGGUGCGAAAGCGUGGGGAGCA